UACGUAGGGUGCAAGCGUGUCCGGAAUUAUUGGGCGUAAAGAGCUCGUAGGCGGUUUGUUGCGUCGGCUGUGAAAUCCCGAGGCUCAACCUCGGGUCUGCAGUCGAUACGAGCAAACUAGAGUGUUGCAGGGGAGACUGGAAUUCCUGGUGUAGUGGUGAAAUGCGCAGAUAUCAGGAGGAACACCGGUGGCGAAGGCGGGUCUCUGGGCCGAUAUUGACGCUGAGGAGCGAAAGCGUGGGGAGCGAACAGG
rnacentral:rRNA from 1 species